UGAGCACCUAAAGCCUUCUGCUGAAUGCAGCCUGAGGCCAAGCAAUGCUGGGAGUGCUCAAGUACAUGUGAAGGAAAGAGCGGAGCUCUUAGGAGAGAGGUCAGGGUGGUGGUCUUCCCAGGCUGAGCAGAUGGAGAGCUGUUUUGUCCUGCCUUACAGGGCUCUUAAUUUGAUGAAUUAAUGUGAGAAGUGCUAAUGUACCAGCAAAGACAGCAGGCAAAGAUCUGUCUGCUGAUCCCAGCCAUGACUGAUUUCAGCUGUGCUGCUGAGCAUGCACAAAAUAACCAUGGUUUGCAUAUGGAAAAACACCUUUACAAUUUCUGCCUGGUUGAACUCGUCCACAGCAGGUUCUCAAAUGAUGCAUAUUGAAAUGGAGCCACCUUGAAAUGCCUGGGUCUCAAGAGACCUCCAAGCAGAGAGGACAGGAUUGCUCUAUUGCUUUUUUGAAAGAUAAAUGACCUGACUGCAAGUGACAGUCUGCUCACAUGAGGAGUGUUUAGUCAUUUGGCAUGAAGCAGAAUAUCUAAGCCAUCAAGGUGUGUGGGCUCUGCAGUGCAUAAAUAAGUUACAAAUUAGGGAUUCUAAGUGGCUGCUUGCCCCUUGCAUGCAGUGCUCCAAGUGAUUACUGUUCUCUUUGUCUAAUCAAAGUU